GACGCCGACGCUGACUAGGGAGGCGCCUCGACGGGCUGCCCCCUCCCCGGCGAGGCGUGGGCCUGUCCCGGGGUAAGCCGAGGCUACAGGGCCAGCUUAACGACAGCGCUGUUCAGAUAGAGGUAUGGUUAUGUUGCCCAGGCUGGUUUUGAAAUCCUGGCUUCAAGUGAUCCUCUUGUCUCGGCCUCACAAAAUGGGAUUACAGUCAACUGCAGAGGGGCUCUAUGCAGCCCAUUCAUAUCUCCUAAAUAUGCAUUAUAUCUAGCAGAACUCCAUACUUACCUUCUGCCAUGAGCUCACGGAUCCCAUUGUGAAGACUUGGGCCAAAGAGAGUCAUAACCUUGAUAAUGACGUUGCCAUAAUCCAGAGCAGGUCCAGCUGGGUUUGGGAGUGGUGAGUCUCUGACAUGAGACU